GUGGAAGCUGAGGCCCUGGAUACCAUCUGCUCUUGGAGGGCCUUGGAAGGGGACAUGGUACAGUGUCGCCUGAUCUCUGCCACAAGCACCCGAAUGUCCAUCCUUGCAGUGUCAGGAGGGGUGAAAAGAAAGGCCAGCGAGCAGGCAGCAGAGCAGCUCUGCCACCCCAUGGGACAGGGCAUGUGUGUGGCCACAUGUGCGGCUUGGUGCAGUCAGCUCCUAGAGGGAAAGCCAUACACAGGACACAUGUGCCUUCCCUCUUGUCACUGCUCCCGACGAGUGGGCACGACAGGAGCUUGUUCUCUCUGAGUCGCUGGGGAGUGUGGGGCAAGAGGCUGGCAGGGCCAGAGGGCAUGGCCCUGUGCCCCGAGAGAGUCAGGCCGUGGGGGCUCCUGCCGUUCUGCUUCAUUCUCAGGCCGUGCGAGGUGGGAUUCUGUGGAUGUUCUGGCUCUGCCCUCCAAAGCCAUGCAUGGUGUCCAGCUUUGCCCGACUUCCAUACAUGAGGGAGCCGGGCAAGGGCCGGGUGGCCCUGGCUGUAUCCCAGGGCACUAGUCCCUGGGCACUUGGUGAGACUGAGGCGUCAGUGAAUCAGUACCUAGUAUGAGGCAGGAGCAGAGGACUCCACCCAGGGCAGGGUCUGUCUGCCACCGUAGCCUCUGGCACCUUGAGGGCCUUCCGAUGAGGAAAGAGGGUGGUGAGUGUGUGCGUCCCCUCACAUCAGUCCCUGCGGAGUCUCUGGGAGCCCUCAGCCUGGGCAGCACCUGAGGAGGGCACAGCACAGGGCCUGGAGCCAGGCUGAGCUGCCCAGUGGAGCCGCCUCCCCGUGGACACUGCCGACCCUGUGGACCCAGGACCCAAUGCUUUGCUGAAGCUGGUCAAAUGGAACCAAAUCGGCUGCUCACUGGAUUUGGUCCCCUUCAACCAGCUGUAGCUGCGCAUUGACUGCGGCUCGGCCGGCCCAGCGGAGGACCAGCAGCAGGGCGGGGCCCAGCAGGCCAGCUCCAAGGAAAACGGGCCUAGAGCCUCGACUGUGCUCCUGAGUGUCCUGGCUUGGGAUCCGAGGGCCUCCUCUGACCCCAGCAGAGGUAGGUGGCUGAGGAGCCAGAUGCUUCCCCACAGAGGGUGGCCGCUGAGCCCUGGCUGACCCCAUCCACGUACCGGUUACCGUGAAAAUAAAUGCUCAUUUUGCACACCAGAGCUUUGCUUGACACUUGGGUCCCAGANACAUGUGCGGCUUGGUGCAGUCAGCUCCUAGAGGGAAAGCCAUACACAGGACACAUGUGCCUUCCCUCUUGUCACUGCUCCCGACGAGUGGGCACGACAGGAGCUUGUUCUCUCUGAGUCGCUGGGGAGUGUGGGGCAAGAGGCUGGCAGGGCCAGAGGGCAUGGCCCUGUGCCCCGAGAGAGUCAGGCCGUGGGGGCUCCUGCCGUUCUGCUUCAUUCUCAGGCCGUGCGAGGUGGGAUUCUGUGGAUGUUCUGGCUCUGCCCUCCAAAGCCAUGCAUGGUGUCCAGCUUUGCCCGACUUCCAUACAUGAGGGAGCCGGGCAAGGGCCGGGUGGCCCUGGCUGUAUCCCAGGGCACUAGUCCCUGGGCACUUGGUGAGACUGAGGCGUCAGUGAAUCAGUACCUAGUAUGAGGCAGGAGCAGAGGACUCCACCCAGGGCAGGGUCUGUCUGCCACCGUAGCCUCUGGCACCUUGAGGGCCUUCCGAUGAGGAAAGAGGGUGGUGAGUGUGUGCGUCCCCUCACAUCAGUCCCUGCGGAGUCUCUGGGAGCCCUCAGCCUGGGCAGCACCUGAGGAGGGCACAGCACAGGGCCUGGAGCCAGGCUGAGCUGCCCAGUGGAGCCGCCUCCCCGUGGACACUGCCGACCCUGUGGACCCAGGACCCAAUGCUUUGCUGAAGCUGGUCAAAUGGAACCAAAUCGGCUGCUCACUGGAUUUGGUCCCCUUCAACCAGCUGUAGCUGCGCAUUGACUGCGGCUCGGCCGGCCCAGCGGAGGACCAGCAGCAGGGCGGGGGCCCAGCAGGCCAGCUCCAAGGAAAACGGGCCUAGAGCCUCGACUGUGCUCCUGAGUGUCCUGGCUUGGGAUCCGAGGGCCUCCUCUGACCCCAGCAGAGGUAGGUGGCUGAGGAGCCAGAUGCUUCCCCACAGAGGGUGGCCGCUGAGCCCUGGCUGACCCCAUCCACGUACCGGUUACCGUGAAAAUAAAUGCUCAUUUUGCACACCAGAGCUUUGCUUGACACUUGGGUCCCAGAGCCAAGCCCGGUGGGGUGGAGGCAGGAAGCCUCCGAAUUCCCCGUUAGAAUGGCCUCCGUGCUCAGGGUGCAGCCCUGGGCCCUCCACAGGGUGCGUGUCCAGGUUGUGCUAAUGAGCUGGGGACGUUGAGGGACUUGGAGAGUGGGAGUCCCCAGGGCUGGUGGCCUCUCUUGAGACUACGUGGAGGGUGCUGGCGCUGGCAGGGGCCACUGAACAGGAACCCUGGCCAUGGUCUUGGCAGAAGCCCACCCGCUUUAGACAGUGCAGCCCCAGGCAGCUUUCAGAGCCCCUGAGCAGGACCCCCCAUGCACUGAGACCGUUUUGGGGAGGGCCCAGCAUCAGGGCCAGGCAGCCUCUCGGCAAAGAGCCUAAGGGGUGGACCCCGACUUCUGCCCAAGCUGUAGGGAUGGGGUGCCUCGGCUCAGAGGCCAUGGCCGUCAGCCUGGGACGCGAGGGACAGGCAGAGGAGGGGCUGGGCAGACAGGCAGGUGAGGCCCCAGGGAAGGAUGCAGAGGGCCAGCCCUGGGCUCCAACGUCGGUGCUGAGCCUCACAGACCCAGACUCAGGAACUCUAACCCCCAGCCUCAGCUCACCCCCAAUUCUAAUACCUUGUUGGUGUCCCUCUUUGCACACAGCUGUGUCCCCAAAGAUGGGAGGGACCAGGAGGCUGGAGUCCACACAGCUGCCCAGGGCUGGAGGGGGAGGAGAGCCCUCCUGCAGGACCAGGCAGGGCGAGAUUCAGGGUAGGCUUGACUUCUGACAGGCCGUGUGGCCCUGGGGGGCCCUUAUCCUUCCUUUAAUGGCUUCUCUGGCGGAAGCAUAGUCGGGCCCUCUGGGAGCCUCAGCCAGGCUUGUGGGGGGGCUUUUAUCUCUGAGCCCUUCUUAGCUCCCAGUGCGGUCCACAACCCUCAGGGUGGCCCGGUCACAACUGCCACCCCAGGCAGCCACCAGGCAGAGUGCUGCCCGCCCCCCUGGGUCUGUUGGGACACAGGCCUAACGGCCUCAGAGGGAGACUUGGAAAAUCCCCCUAAGCCGAAGAGCUCAGCCUGGCCUGGCCUGCCCACCGCCUGUCCUCCUCGGAGGGUGGGGCAUGGAAACAGCUCUCGGUGCCCUGUCAGAUGCCACACCUGGGUGAGCACUGGGCCCACACCUACCAGUCACAAGUACUGGGGCCCUCGUCCACCCGCCAUGGGCACCGGAGCCCGCACCCACCACCAACCACCACGAGCAAGCACUGGGGCCCUUGCCCACCUGCCAUGGGCACUGGGGUCUCGCCCACCCACCAUGAGCACUGGGGUCUCGCCCACCGCUAUCAGACAGAAACCCCACAGGACCCCACUCCCAACAAAGGUCUAGUGUCCCACCCCCUGAAAAAGUGGUCAGAUUUCCAAGUCAUCAGAUAAAGCUCACAUGCAGCUCAAUGGUGGCAAAAUGCCCCCUGCGGGUGCUGGGGAGGCUCACUGGACGUCCUCCUGUGGGCCCAGAACCUACCUGGAAAGGCAUGAAAUGGGCAGGGUCCCUCAAGUAGGAGCUAUGGUUCAAGUGAGGACAUCACAGGGCCCUGGGCAUGACCUUGACCCACUGGGCCAGUGUGGCUCUUCCUCCUCAUCCAGGCCCCUUGCUGGCCUGGCGAUCCUGUCCACUUGUACCAGCAACCACUCCUGCUGCAGGGCUCUACCCAGCAGGCCAGGUCUCGGAGCAUUGCAGAUGCUUCAGGACAAGAGGGGCCCAAGACAAGUGGACCCCAGGCUCUGCCCCUAGCUGGCUGAGUACCCAAGGGGGAAGACCUUCCCUUCUCUGGGCCUCAGGGCACCCCUGUAAGUCAAAGGACCAAAGAGACUGUGCCCCCAACACCAUGAACAUCAGCUCCAGGUUAAGCUGCUGUGUGGGGUGCUGCUGCUCCAGGCCCACCCACCUGGAGCGCCUCUGUGGGGUCCCUGCGAGGCCUCCCUACCCCAGGCGAGGCCACAUACUCUCUUCACCCUGCUGCCCACACUCUGGCACUGCACAGGGUGACCGACGAUGUGGAUGACAGGACUGAGAAGCUGACAGGCCCACCCAGGGGCAGCAGGUGUCUCCAGGAGAGCCCGCUGGUGCCCUGGGCCUGGUCUCUCUGGCUCCGCACGCAGCACAGUCAGCCCAACAAACGGCCGGGCCCAGGGUUCCAGUGAAACUCACUCGUGGGCCCUGGGAUUUGAACUCCAAAUGCUUCUCACAGGCCGUGAAAUGUCCGUUUAAUUUUUCCCCAGUCGUCAGAAGCGUGAGAGCCAUGCUGAGCUCCUGGGCAGUGUGAAGACAGAGCGGGCAGGGCUGGGUCUUGGGCGGGCUACCAACCCAGCCAGGGCAGGUGGACGAGGGCCACAUAGCAGGUGCUGGGUGGAGGGGCGGGCAGAGGCCCCAGGGGAGUCCCUCAGUGCCCACCGUGCAUCCCGGCUUUCCCAGUGGUGGACUAGCAUGAGGAGGCCCAGCCCAUCUGCCACAUGAGGAAAAGGAGGUGGAAGCUGGCCACAGGCCCCCUGGACCUCCUGCCCCUGGCAGGGACCAGCCUCCCCUCCUUCUCUCCGCUCAGAUCCCAGCACUCUAGCCCUCCCAGGCCACUGACAUGUCUUCAGCCUAGCAGGAGGUUGUCCCCGCCGAGCCCCUCACCCCUCCUGCCUCCCCAGGGACCAUCCUCGAGGUGAGCCCUGGAGGGGCCAGAGAACAAGGGCAGUGGCCUGAGCCUCGGGAGGGAGCCUUCACUGCGGAGCCCAGCAGCAGUGGGUGGCCACCCGAGUCUCAAGGAACCAGGGAUCCCGCGGCCCAGAGGCUCUUGAGGAAGGGAAAAUGACCAACUGAGAGUGAGAGCUUCCAACUCCAGGGCCAGCCUCCCCUCCCCAGGCCCCUGCCCGGCCACCUGGGUCUGUGUCUUGAGCCUUUGGCCCCUAGGGAAAGAGCCCCAGGCUCUGGGUGCUCUUCCUCCCUUCUGUGACCACAUGUUCCACCUGUACGCUCCAUGCUGGGCAGGCCCAGGCUUCAGGGCGGGGUUUCUGGUCCCAGCUCUUGCCUGGCACAUUUGCAUCCUGCAAGUCAGCCCGAGGUAUCUGUCACUCAGUAGGAGCAAAGGAAAGGCAAACACUCCUUGAGAGAGAUGCUCUCUAUGGGACACAAGCUCCCCCAGUCACCAGCACACAAUGCCACAGAACGCAGAAGACCAUGGGCCAAGUCCACCUGCCCCAUGUGCCCACCGGGGUUGCUCAAGCCGCUGCAGAAGAGAUCCCAGGGAUACUGGGGCACCACAGGCUUCCAGGAGCCCCAAGUGAAGACGUGCCCCUCAUUUUCCAUUCACACUUGUCUGACACCCCUCCUGUUCCCGGGUUCUGGGGAGAUCCCUCUGCUGUCGGGGACUUUGAAAGGACAGUGACAGCCACGUGAAGCAGCAGCUUCACAUCUCCUUGGCAUGGCCUGUUCCGCUCUGUGCCAGCUCCCAGUGCUCACAGCCAGGGACACACACCAGGCACACAGAGCACACAUGCCAGGCACAUACCUGCACGUUAUCACAAACAUGUGCAAUGCACACACAUGCAAACACUAUUACAUGUGCACAGUGCAACACAGCCACACAGGGCUCACACUCACAUCCUCACACGCACACACCACAUACUGCAUGCUCACACAAGGGCACAGAGACACACGCCCUCACACACACAAUGCGCAUGCAGGACUAUGUUCCCAGACCCUUCCCCCUGCCUGUGUUGCUCAGGGCCACUGGGUACCCCUCAGCUCUUCCACCCCAGUGUAACUCUAUGGGCUCCGCAGCCCUGAGCAAAGGGGCUCUGUCUCCACCAUUCCUUCAUUACAGGAAGGGUGUGCAAGAGCAGGUGUGGCAGGCCUACACUGUUUGUUCCAGGAAGGGGACAGCCUCUGUUCCUCCCUGGGCCAGGAAGGAAAGACCAACUGCACUUGAGCUGGGAGUUAUCACGGACCAGCCCCUGGGCCACAUCUUGUGGGAGGCUGAAGGAUAAUGACCAGUGCUCCUGCACAGGGAGCUGUGUGGGCACCAGGCCUGACUGGGAGGAGCAGGGGGGGAAAGAGAGGAGGGUGGCCGAUGA
rnacentral:lncRNA from 1 species